rnacentral:rRNA from 1 species
UGCGGUAGGGGAGACUGGAAUUCCCGGUGUAACGGUGGAAUGUGUAGAUAUCGGGAAGAACACCAAUGGCGAAGGCAGGUCUCUGGGCCGUCACUGACGCUGAGGAGCGAAAGCGUGGGGAGCGAACAGGAUUAGAUACCCUGGUAGUCCACGCCGUAAACGGUGGAUGCUGGAUGUGGGGACCAUUCCACGGUCUCCGUGUCGGAGCCAACGCGUUAAGCAUCCCGCCUGGGGAGUACGGCCGCAAGGCUAAAACUCAAAGAAAUUGACGGGGGCCCGCACAAGCGGCGGAGCAUGCGGAUUAAUUCGAUGCAACGCGAAGAACCUUACCUGGGCUUGACAUGUUCCCGACGACGCCAGAGAUGGCGUUUCCCUUCGGGGCGGGUUCACAGGUGGUGCAUGGUCGUCGUCAGCUCGUGUCGUGAGAUGUUGGGUUAAGUCCCGCAACGAGCGCAACCCUCGCCCCGUGUUGCCAGCACGUUAUGGUGGGAACUCACGGGGGACCGCCGGGGUUAACUCGGAGGAAGGUGGGGAUGACGUCAGAUCAUCAUGCCCCUUACGUCCAGGGCUUCACGCAUGCUACAAUGGCCGGUACAACGGGAUGCGACCUCGUGAGGGGGAGCGGAUCCCUUAAAACCGGUCUCAGUUCGGAUUGGAGUCUGCAACCCGACUCCAUGAAGGCGGAGUCGCUAGUAAUCGCGGAUCAGCAACGCCGCGGUGAAUGCGUUCCCGGGCCUUGUACACACCGCCCGUCAAGUCAUGAAAGUGGGCAGCACCCGAAGCCGGUGGCCUAACCCCUUGUGGGAUGGAGCCGUCUAAGGUGAGGCUCGUGAUUGGGACUAAGUCGUAACAAGGUAGCCGUACCGGAAGGUGCGGCUG